rnacentral:rRNA from 1 species
AAGUCGAGCGGUAACAGAGAUAGCUUGCUAUCUGCUGACGAGCGGCGGACGGGUGAGUAAUGCUUGGGAAUAUGCCUUUUGGUGGGGGACAACAGUUGGAAACGACUGCUAAUACCGCAUAACGUCUACGGACCAAAGUGGGGGACCUUCGGGCCUCACGCCAAGAGAUUAGCCCAAGUGGGAUUAGCUAGUUGGUAAGGUAAUGGCUUACCAAGGCAACGAUCCCUAGCUGGUUUGAGAGGAUGAUCAGCCACACUGGAACUGAGACACGGUCCAGACUCCUACGGGAGGCAGCAGUGGGGAAUAUUGCACAAUGGGCGCAAGCCUGAUGCAGCCAUGCCGCGUGUGUGAAGAAGGCCUUCGGGUUGUAAAGCACUUUCAGUCAGGAGGAAAGGUUAGUAGUUAAUAGCUACUAGCUGUGACGUUACUGACAGAAGAAGCACCGGCUAACUCCGUGCCAGCAGCCGCGGUAAUACGGAGGGUGCGAGCGUUAAUCGGAAUUACUGGGCGUAAAGCGUACGCAGGCGGUUUGUUAAGCGAGAUGUGAAAGCCCCGGGCUCAACCUGGGAACUGCAUUUCGAACUGGCAGACUAGAGUGUGAUAGAGGGUGGUAGAAUUUCAGGUGUAGCGGUGAAAUGCGUAGAGAUCUGAAGGAAUACCGAUGGCGAAGGCAGCCACCUGGGUCAACACUGACGCUCAUGUACGAAAGCGUGGGGAGCAAACGGGAUUAGAUACCCCGGUAGUCCACGCCGUAAACGAUGUCUACUAGAAGCUGGGGUCUUCGGACAACUUUUUCAAAGCUAACGCAUUAAGUAGACCGCCUGGGGAGUACGGCCGCAAGGUUAAAACUCAAAUGAAUUGACGGGGGCCCGCACAAGCGGUGGGAGCAUGUUGUUUUAAUUCGAUGCAACGCGA